GCCUAGUUAGCUUAGUUGGUAGUGCGUCUGCCUCGUAAGCGCUGGGCCGCGGGUUCGAUUCCCGCCCGGGGCG
rfam:Asian citrus Psyllid, Diaphorina citri - Florida Strain, whole genome shotgun sequence.